GAAUUGAACAGAGAGAUGAAUUGUUUCUAAUUAAAUGAGUGCUGGAGGCUUUUUUGAGAAAAAAAAAAUUGAGAAAUACCAUGAAGAUAAGAGAGGGAGGAGUAUUGGAUUUGUUUUACUUAAAAAAUGAGGAAGGAACAAUUGUAGCUAACAGUAAAAUUGGCAUAUUCCCCUAAAUUAACUCUGACUACAGUAAAUACAUUAAACUGCACACAUUGGACAGUCAGUGAACCAGAAAAAUGUAGGUUUUGGAAAUUGUUUAUUCUAGGCCCCAAGCGCCGGUGCAACUAGUUAAACUAACUUCCUAAAAGUAGUCCUUUCUGACAUUCUUCUCCUCAAACUCGUGAAUAUAGACAUUCUUUUUAUUUUACACAAUAAAUGUCAUUCUAAUUCACAGAAAUAAAAUUGCUGGUUCAUUCAUAUCUUGCAAUUUUAACAUUGUUUCGAGAUAGUGUUAAGCAUUCUUUAUACUGAAUGUCAGGCUGGUGUUCGUGAGUGUGAACCUCCAAGUUUUCCAGUUCCUCAACGCGCUACUGAUUACAUGAGUGUCAACCAUGAGAAGGAGGCUGAGAUUUCAAAUAUUGCUUCUGUCAUGAGAAAUGGAAUUAGCUAUGUCACUGAGUACUGAAGUGUGGGAGCUUAUAAAAAGGUGGUUUUUAUUAUGGAGUUCACUAUUUCAAGUUGCCAGUGCAAGAUGUUUGAUGACAGGCUUCAGUAGUAACCAUGACAUGGAAACCUCCAGAUCUCUGCAUUUUGUGCUUCCAGUUGGUAAUAAUAGGGCAUUUUGGGACAGGCAUCACCAGUUCCAAAGCCAUCCCUAGUAGUUGUUAAGCACACGAGAAUAAAGUUGAAGAUCUACUGAAUUAAGCUCUAGUGUACUUGUACACUGACUUUUGGUUAAAACAUUUGCUGAAUUUGUCAUCAGUCCUGUGCAGAAUUUUCUCACCUGAGACAGAUUGCUGGGACAGGGAUGAAGCUCCAGGAUUCCCAUUCUAGUUCUUCUGAUUUUGGGGCUUCUGGAAUGCCUCACAAACUUCAUUUCCGUCAUUUGCUGCUUCUACCAGACCCAAUAACGGUUCUCACCAAGGUGUGUAUCAGAGCUAUAAUUCUCAGCAUGGUGCAUGUUGACCCCAAAAAGUGCGCCAACAGAUGCCGGUCCCACCCGCGCUUGCGUGGGAGAAUGUCCA